rnacentral:RNase_P_RNA from 1 species
GCGGAUGGCUGGAUGGUCGCGGGGAAACUCGAGGAAAGUCCGGACUCCAUGAAGAAGCGGCGCCGGGUAACGCCCGGCCAGUGAAAGCUGAGGGAUAGCGCCACAGAGAACAGACCGCCCCAUUUUUUCCGUUGGAAAAUCAAUGAGGUAAGGGUGAAACGGUGGGGUAAGAGCCCACCGCGGGACGGGUAACCGGACCGGCAUGGCAAGCCCCGCCGGGAGCAAUGCCAAAUAGGGACCGCGUGGGGCAUCCGCCCCGGGGGACUUCACUCCCAGCAGGUCCGGGUUGGCAGCAAAAACCUAUUGGUAACAAUGGGUUAAGAUGAAUGGCCAUCGGGGCGCAAGCCUUACAGAAUCCGGCUUACAGGCCAUCCGCAGUA